UCAUCAUUAUCAUCAUUGCUGACAUUUAUUGAGUGCCUACUAUGCAUCAGCCUCCCAGCGAUUAAUGCCUUCCCAUUUAUGACGUGAGAAGAAUGAGCAGCAUGUUACAGUUGGUCUUCUGUCCGUUUCUGAAGAGUGCCGUGCCAGGAUUUUGAUGUGCACUCUCGUUCUGGCACCAGGCUUCACACUUCUCACCCAGCACAGAGCCAGCUCACAGAUCCUGUUCGGCACAGCAACUCCAGACAUGCAGCCUGAAUUUGAAGGUGCCCUCUUAAAAUGUGGCAGGCACAGCCUCUCUCUUCAUAUUUGGAGCUCAGCUGCCUUCAGAGCAGCCUUGGAAGAGUUGUGUGUUACCUACUCACUGAAGCAAUCUCCAUAAAGCUCUUCCUGGGAUUUCUCCCAAGUAAGCUUCUGGCUUUUAAGUCCUUAUCUUAGGAUCUGAUUUUUAGGGAAGCCCUUAACAAUUGCACCAGACUUUGCUCCAGAAAUCAGACUCUUAGGACAUGAUUCUGGCAUUGGAUCUCUUGGCCAUCAGAUGACAAGGGCACAAUUGCUGAUGGUAAGUUGUAGAAAAUCUUUUAUGUACGGCACUAUCAUAGUUCCUUACAUCAACAAAUUUUAAUUGGUGUGUUGCAAGAGGCACACUGGUGUACUGCAAGAAUUUUUAA